UCCCAGCCGGGAGAGUGCGCGCGGGCUAAAGCAGCCCCCGCGACCCUCUCCCGGCUGGGGAGGUGAUGCGCGGCUAUAGAGGCUCCUGCCAUAGCCGCGCGUCACCUCUCUAGCCGGGAGAGGGUCGCGGGCCAUGGCUCUUUAGCCCCCGUGACCCUCUCCCGGCUGGAGA